AUCAUGGCUCGGGAUGAACGCUAGCUACAGGCUUAACACAUGCAAGUCGAGGGGCAGCAUUUUAGUUUGCUUGCAAACUAAAGAUGGCGACCGGCGCACGGGUGAGUAACACGUAUCCAACCUGCCGAUAACUCAGGGAUAGCCUUUCGAAAGAAAGAUUAAUACCGGAUGGCAUAGGAUUAUCGCAUGAUGAUCCUAUUAAAGAAUUUCGGUUAUCGAUGGGGAUGCGUUCCAUUUAG
rnacentral:rRNA from 1 species